CUGGAAGCAUGUUCCUUAGUGUUUCUCAUUAGAGCCUGGCUGGCUGAGAGGAUUCCAUGGGAGAAUGGCUGGUGCACGGCUGCCCUUUCAUCUCCGAGACCUGUGCUUAAUGUGCCGCAGAUUGUGUGGGUGUGAGCUGGCCAGUGGGGUGAGCACAGCCCCGAGUGGAAGCUGGUUCUCCCAGUGGGAUCCCAGGCUGGGGCAGGAGCACAGCUCUGGGGCUGCUGCUGUGGGCAGGGCUGUGCCCCACGCAGCCCCUCUGCACACAAAGGUUACAGCACUGGCAAUCUCGGCCAGGCUGCUUGCGGAGAUUCUGAACUCCCUGACAAGACAUGUACAGCUUCAUCUGCACUUCCCUGAGCACUGGAAAGGAUUUGCAUUUGGAGUACACUUUACUUCAGCAGCUUGCAUGUAAUAAUUGAUAUCCUGUUACUUUUCCAAAUGCUUUAACAAGAGUUCAGUGUGUGUUAGUCUGUGCGCAUUCACAAACAUCUGUGUGGCAGUCAGAUAAAACCCAGACAUAUUGAUAAGAUGGUCCAAAAGGAAGCAUUAAAUGCAUAAAUACAGUGUGUCUACCAUGACCUGAUAUGUUAAUUUCUUCAUACUUUUCACAUAUUCUCUUGAAUUUUGUUGUUAAGCCAGGAUUUCUCAGUCAGGGAAGCAAACCCUACUCCAACACAUCCAAUUUCCCUGCAGUCUUUCUAAACCACAAACUAGUACAAUUUAUAGAGGAGAAUAUCUGCUAUGAAACAUUCUCUCAAAGGGAAUAUUUACUGGAGAAUCCAUCACUCUAAUGACAACUUUUUAACCUCCAUGUUUUAAACAUUUUGCUACAAAUAUGUCUAUUCACAUGAAUUAGUAGAGCCUUAUCAGUCAGUAGUAGACCACCACAUGUGGUUUUGUACAGAUCUCAUGUGAGGAGUAUACAAAGUUUGAAUCUGUUUCAUAUAUGUGCAAAUUAUUCCAGAAACAAUUUUCUCCUUUUUAUUCUAAUCUUUGACCUCUCAAAGAUGCAUUCUGUAAGCACCUUUGCACAUGAUGCUGAACCAGAAAAAUAAGUGAGAUUCUUGCUUUUCUUUUGCUCCCGUUUAAUCUGAUGACCCUCCUAUACUUAGUGGUCCCAGAGAAACCCCAAACUAUCUUUUAUUGUUCUCCAUGGCCACAUUUUACUUCUGAAAUAUUUACUGCUUAU
rnacentral:lncRNA from 1 species